ACGUUAACAAUGCAGAGAAACUACAACUACAGUUCCUCCCAGAGAGCAAAAUAUGUCAGCGCCCCUAAAAAGGGCAGAAUUGUUCUAGAAUGGGCUGCAGAGGGAUAAAGCCUUACAGGGCUAAGGGGAACGGACAUGAGCGCUCCCCGACCAGGGAGGUGAAGCAAGGCAGAAAAAGCUGGGAACUGAGACAAACCUGCCAUGAGACCAGCGCUUGUCCAGCCAGGAGGUGAAGCAGCAUCACUAUGCGGCUACAGAAAGGAACAAGAGCAGAGCAUAACAGGGGGAAGACCGGGAGGCAAACGGGACAAAGAUGAGAAUGUGCAGAGGGAGGCACACACUGAGUGCAGGGGACAGCAACGGGGGCUGCACCUUCCAGAGCUCAGAGCUGUGGGUAUGGGACAACUCACAGCAAACCAGCGGGGCCAGAGGGGUCAGGAAGUGUAAUGGAGGAAGAUGUGAGGUGACAGAUGUGGCCGUGCGGGGCCCUCGGGGGAGGCACGGGGAGGUGAGGGGAGCUCCUGGCAACUCUGCUGUGGGGGUCAACAUCACGCACCAAAGGGAGGGUCUGACAUCUGACUGGAGUGGCUGCAGGAAAACGCUAUGGGAGCAGCUACCACUUUUGUGUAGAAGUCACUGGAGUACAGAACCACGUUGGCAACCUGCUCCACUGAAGUGAGGAAGGGAAAGAGGGACUAUCAGUUGUGCACAGGCAUCGGAAACAACACAGCUGCUCCACAGUCUCAGGAGUGGAAAACAUGAGGAGAACAGCAGGAAAACCCAUACGUUGAGAGCCUGAAGGGAGCACCAGGUCAGGCAGCCUGAUCACAGACUUUGCCACCUGUGUGUUAGUCUCUGUCUUCCCUGAAACGCAUCCAGCUUUGGUUUGGAGAUGACAGAAAGCCCAUGGUAUCCCUUAGGAGCCUGCUCUUCUCAUUACAAGGAUCUCCCUCUCUAAACAUGCCUGCUUUCACCUCUGGUGCACAAGAGGUGCUAUUUACAGCACCAUCAAGCAGACUGGAUACCAAACUGCAGCCAAGUUCCUCUGACAGCAUUCUCCAAACGAACACUAGAAAGCAUGUGGUGAUUUUGAUUCAAGAGAGAAUCUGAAAUAAGGUCUUUUUAAGCUACACUGAAGAAUGUCAGGUUAAAAAAUAUUCGGGAGUAACUAGAUAGUGCAUGCAAGAUAGGCACUGAAUUGGCUUUCUCCGCUGUAGAGUUUUAUGAAACCCUCAGCAACUUUGUUCCUUCCCUGCUUUCUUUUCUCUUUCUCAUCCUUUGUCUUAGACUGCCUUCCACAGGCCCAAGCAGAACGGAGCUUGUGGGAUGAAAACACGCAGUGCUACAAAUAAAACACAGGCAGUGCCGAACCUCAGGCUCUGCCCUCAGCUCCCUCUCGAGGAACCACACCAUCGCUGGCAGAGUGGCUGUUUCUCACAGUGCAGGGCAUUUCUGAAGCCCCAGGUGAAGCACCACCUCUGCACAUUCCCUGUUAGCUGAGCAUUGCGCUGACAGAAGCCCUUCCCACUGGGCUCCCAAGAGGCAGACUGGGGGAAGACCUGCUUUGCCUGCCACAGUGCCAGGCCUUUCCUGUGUAGACACGACAAACUGGGGCCUGAAAUUGAGCCAGGCAAAUAACCACGAGUCAGGAAAAAAGGCGCAGUGUUUUACCUAAUGAAUAGCAGCAAACAAACAGCAACAGAUGGGGGGGAGGGACGAAUUCCUGAUGCACUCCAUACUGCCUGCUUAGGCAGUCUACAAGCACUAAAUUCUGGCUCUUCCAGCCCACCAUGGCCUUCUUGUCCUAAGAGAAUCCAAGCAAUGGUAAAAAAACAUACCCUGAACUUUGAUCUUCUUCACUGUUUUCUCUGUGCUGUUGGUGACCAUGACAGUGACUGGAAUGGGCUCACCAUGGUAAUACACCUAGGGGGAAACCGAUGCUCAGAAACACAGUCAGAAGGCUUCUCCCAGGUCAUAAACCACUCCAAUCCCCACAGAGGCCAGAUAAAGCAAGGUGACCCUUCCCCAUGACUCACAAUCCUGCCUCCAAUGCCCUACUUGCCCUCAAAUGACUCUGAUAACGGUGUCCCACCCUCCUCUAGCAGAAGCUACUGACAAAAAUCACAUUAGAACCCAAGCAUGCAGACCAAGUCUGGAUCAGGUGAGACAGAGCCUGGUAACACACCAAAUAGCUGUUUGGGUAACAAAACACAUAUUGGUAUUGAAGUGCAACGAUGCCCACAUCCCAGGGGCAAACUGCUCACCUCUUUACUGAGGCAAGCUUUCAGGUGCAAUGGCUUGUUGGACAUGAAGAACUGCCACGUGGUCUCUGCGCAAGGUUGGGGUCCUGGUUCUUCUGGAGCAAACUGCACUUUACGGAUCAACAGCCGCGCGGAGUUCCUGGGAAGCAGCAGAAGACACCAGGGUGGUACCUCAUGUUUGGCUGAGGCAAGAGAUUUGCACUCACACAGGCUUAAUUAAACUCAAGAAGUCCACUGACAAGUGGAACAAAGGUGAAUAAGCAACCACGGUGCAUUAUUGUAAUUCCCCCCUUCUUUAUAAGGGCGCAGCAGAAGACAUACAGAAAUACACGUACUGUUACCUCUUAUGAAUUCUCUCUUCCAAAUUCUCUGUUGAAAAAGCUUUCACCUCGAAGUCCACCCCACAGCUCUGCCAGAGAGAGAGGGCAGCUGUGAGGCCAGCGUCACAAGCCACACCUGUAGAUGUUCAAGCAUCUUGCUGUAUCCUAGGAACUGGCAGAUCCCUGCCAACGGCAAAUCCUUCUGGCCUAUGACCACUGUGACAGAGAUCCCUGCCACCUGGUGUAUCAGCAUCCACCUGCUCCAUGCUACAAGGCUUAGCUCCCAGCCUCUGACAGAUGGCAUCCCUUCUCCUGAAAGGAUGUGAGAGCAGAGCUGUGGAGGUCACAGCACACUGCAGGAGGCACCACCAGCAGGCCUGCAAGGUUCUCCAGUCCACCUUGAGUUUCUGAAACAGCUUCGUCAUGCCAAUACCUGACUCGUGGUCAAGCUCCUUUCUUCCCAGUGUCUAAGGACUGAGAGAGAUCAGUCCUUUGCUUUAGGUCCAAGGUCCAAGCAGACCUUUGCUCUAACAGGUUUGUAUUGGUAUACCUGGCUUUAGGCCUAGCCCAGCUGUUCAGAGAAGCAUCCUGUGAAGGACAGGAGGACUGCUUUAAAUGAUGCCAGAAACCCAACAGAACAUCUCACUGUUUGGUGAUACAUCCUCUAGAGGGUUUUUUUUAUACACACAUACAAAACAGACCUUCUCUGCAUUUGUUUUAACCCAGAAGCAGGUCUAACACCUGUUAAUUACACCCACCAGUGAGAUUCCAGACACUCAGCCUCCCCUCUCUCACAUGACUGAUAGCUAACACAAGCUUGCUAGGAUCACUUCGCAUGUCCAACCCACAAAUCAUGCAGUACCCUUAAGGAAAUGGCAAGCACUGCAGAUUUAGCACAGCCUUGCAGCUACUGGACUAGAUUUUAUUUCUUAUUUUGAGGAAUUGACUUCCAGCUGUAGCUCUUACAGUCAGCUUCCUGACAUUUGUGGCACAACAAAGGUAAACUCCAUGAUAAGCACCAGUGUACCAGUCUCACCUUAUCAACAUCACGAGGUGAAGGCUGCAAACAGACCGAACAAGGCAGGUAAUCUGGGAACUGUGGGAACAAAAAGGAAAAGAACCCAGAGCAAUAUUAUGCAGAUUUCUGUGAUAUUCUAUUUAACUUACUGCUCACAAAAGGUACAACAUAGCCCUGAAGACAACAGGUCACUUACAUACAGCAACCCUUUGAAGUUCCAACUCAGAGGCAAGCUGGGUCUUAUGCUUACCGUUCAUGAACAAAGCCUUUUAGGAAGAAAGGGAUUUAGAAUAUUAACAACCAAGAGAACACAGAAAAAAUGUAAAUAGAGGCCCGGAAACAUAGAGCUCCUGGGCUUAUAAUCAAAUACUAGAGCACUGGAGACACAGAUUAGAAGCUGGGAUAUCUGGUUCCCAUCCAGAAUCAUCAACAUGGCUCACAGUAGUGCCAGUCACUGUUCACACGGGCUUGAAGCUCAAGCAAGGCAUCUCUGUCAUGGAAACACAGCUAAGGCUAUUAAACCAGCCAGCCUCCACGCAGUGUCCAUUUGCUCCUGGUCUGCAAAGGGCCAGCAGCUUCACCAAUUGAAAAGGCUGCAGAGCCUCCUGGAGACGGAGCACCAACACCCCAUCAGUGAAUCCAGCAACCGGGACCACUGGAUUGUACCUGAGGAGUCAAUGACAUCCAGCAGGCACCCACCCACUGAGCAGAAUCAAAGAGGGGUACGUGUAAUGACAGAUGAGGAGAGGGUCAGGGGCUCUUAAGAGAUACUCACUGUAAAGUAAAAGGGGUAAGCAUUUUUCCCCAGCUUCUUUAGCAGAGAUUCCUGCAAGUGGGAGAGAGAUUCUGGCCUGUUCUCAGGUGGGUACACCUGGACUCUAGAGAAGAACAGGUCUCUCCGGAAGGUGAGGCCAAUCACAUCAAUGUCCUCCUGGCCAUACCGGAAAGCACAGGUCAGAGUCACGUACACUGGAAGGAAACACAGGUAGGUAAGGCACGCAGCAGACUAACACAGCCAGGUGAUGUAAAAUCCUGCACCAGUCAUGGAAACUCAUUUCAACACUGUCGUAUAACCCAGCUGGUAUUCAUACAUUAAGUUUUUAUAUACGUUACUUUGAGUAAGAAGUCCAUUCACUGAGGAGUCACAUUUGUGCCCCUGAAGCAAUGUAAAGUUUUAUCCCAGUAUCUCACUUGAAAAGAGGACAAGCAAACUAAAAUCUGUAUUGCAUAAAGCCUCAAACCUUUUUUCCCCUUGAUCAUUGCAGGAUCCACCAAGACAACACCAUCUGAAAGAAAGGAAAAUAAAAAAGAUUACCAGAGGAUAAUCAGGCUUAGGAAAGCAGGAAGGGCAGCGUGCACACUUAUGGACUUACCUACAGGCUCUACACUCCCUAUGUUGUCAAUGAAGUCACGCUUUCCCAGGUAGAUGGUCAGCUGUAGGGAAAAGAUGACCACGGUUGAACUACAAAGUGUUGGUGGUUGUGUGCCUGGGGGGUGGGAGGAUGUAGUACAGAGCUGCAAAUUCCAUAGAGAACAGAGCAAUCCCAUUUUAAGCAUGGGUUUUUUUUCUCCCCACCAAACAAUCCACACCAGGCUCAGAAGGACUAUCCAUGUGCUUUGGGAUAAGAGAAGAGAGGACCUAAUGUGGAACAGCUCCAAGAAGUAGGACACAAGUACUCACAGAUGGGACAGAACUAUGGAUCUAAAUAUUUCUGAUGCCAUCAGAUUCACUAUCAAACAGUGAAUCAGCUUUGUUCCAAGCAUUUACCAGCAGGGCUACAACCUGGAAGAAUGAGAGGGGAGUUGCCUUUUAUGCAAGACUGCGACAAGCUGUCCCAUAUGAGCUUUGUUUACAUUGUCUGCUCACACUUCGCACUAAAUAUGGAUCACAGUCCUUCUUCAGAAAAAUGAAAGAGGACAGGAAAGAGAUAACUUGUUUUGGAGAGGAAUCAGCAUUCUUCCCUGUCUUCUGAGACUCGGGGCAGCUCAUGGCCAAUGGACAGGUUUGGGAUUUAUUUUUCACCAUUGCAAGUAUGCACGAGAGCUCUUUCAUCUGUCAUGGAACAUCUGCCAUUGAACACAGUCUUGGUUGUCCUGGAACACCUGCCAUUGAGCACAGUCUUGGGUGAACGCAAAGAAGCCUAGCUGUUCCAGGAGAAGAAAGUUUCUACAACCUAUUUGCACACAGCAGGCUGAAGGAAGAGGAAACGCUUUCCUUAAGGCAGAGGUUACAGACAGACACACGGUUAAGAAUUUCUACUUCACGAAAUAUAAGUAGGUUUGCCAAGUCCAGAACAGUAGCUGUGGUUGAGCAGUCACCUUACUCACUCCGUAGACCAUAAGAAGAAACCGGCAAAUAACAUUAAAUACCUUUCUGGGUUCCGAACGGCACAGGAGCUACCGCAGGGCAAAGGCAUGAACUCCUAAGAAGAAGAAAGAUGCAUUUUCCAUGCAGCCAUGUCCUGUGCGCCUUCCCAUCAACCUGAGAACCAUGAACCUCCGAGCAAGGGAGGAAGACAAUUUGUAGAAGAUUUUAAAGCGCGUCUCUGGUUGCGUCCAUCCGGGAUUCCGACAAUUAAUCCCCCUCCAGGAGCAAACGUUGUACUUGGGCUGAGAUUCAACCGGAAAGUGGUUAUGUCAGCAAGAAAAGCAUUACCUAAGGAAGACCAGGUCCUCGAUGAACAGGUCUACAAUGUCAUCCUCGUAUGCUUUACAAAGGCAACAGACUUACAUAGAACAGGAUGGUUACUAAAGGAGCUUUAUUCUAAAGCUCUUCUUCUCUCUUCUCCUUCCCAGGGCUUCAAGCAUCCAGCCUGAUAAGAAGCUAAACAUAGAAGAGCUGUUUAUGAAAAAGAGAGUAUACAAAGCAAGUCUCUAUAAACAGAUGCCAUUAUAAAGGACUGCCAGACAUUUAGAGCUACCAGCCACUAAGCUUUGUAUGUGUUAUUGCUCCAUCAGUACCUUGUUGGCUUGCUGCUUAGAAGCAAUGCACUGUUAGCUAGCACACCUCCCAUCCCCAGUGUACUUACAAAAAGAGUAAAGCACAACAUUUAAUAAAACACUUGAACAGAGA